AAAUAAAAUAAAAUUCGGCAGCCUCCUUCUCCUCUACUUCAAGCAUAUGUUCUUCUACAUUUCUUGCGUUUUUGGGCAAAUUGAAUAACAGAUCGCGCAACGAGAGGAUGAUCGGGGUAGCUCUUCGCUUCUAUAACAUUCUUAUGCCUAGUAAAUGAACAUAGUCAAUAUGGGUUUUCGGAUCUCGGUCGAAUCCAAGGAGCUUUGCAGCCACGGCAGCUUUGAAGUCCACAGCGACUCUCCCGCCCGAGCCUGCACCAUUGUUAGCCCCAUGGGAGAUGUCGUAGCACUGAUUGGUGUGAAUAAGGAGUUGCAACGAUUGAUGAAGACAAGAAAUUAAUAUAUCAUGUGGAAAUAAGGUUUGGUUCCGAUCAAGCUUUUGUUUUUGGAGUGAUUGCUGUUCUUGACUACAUAGAUGAUGGAUCUACAAGAUGUUGACCAUUGUUACAAAUUUAUUUAAAUAAUUCUUAUUAAUCAAUCUGUUUUUUUUUUCUCCUUUUGAAAUAUUAGUCAAUCGACGUUUCGAAAGGGAAAAAAUUUGUUUGA